AAACUGUGUUUUGGGGGCUAACCAGUACUAUAAACAUAAUUAUCUCCCUUCACAGAAUCCAUGCCCUUUCUCCUUGUCCCUUCCUCAUAGAGGAGGACCACGAUGUGAUCAGUAUACUAGCCUGUUACUUGGCAGAGGUGGUUACAUUCCCAGCUGAGUUUUUGAGUGAUUCUGGAUCUUUUCAGUUUGGUCUUUCUCCAAGUUCCUGAAAAAGUUAACCUAAAAAUGGAAUUUUUAGAUCAGGAUGAACCCUUCAGGUCCAUCUAAAGGAAAAAAAAAA